GAGUUUGAUCCUGGCUCAGAUUGAACGCUGGCGGCAUGCCUUACACAUGCAAGUCGAACGGCAGCACGGGAGCUUGCUCCUGGUGGCGAGUGGCGAACGGGUGAGUAAUGCAUCGGAACGUAUCCUGGAGUGGGGGAGUAACGUAGCGAAAGUUACGCUAAUACCGCAUAUUCUGUGAGCAGGAAAGCGGGGGACCUCCGGGCCUCGCGCUCUUGGAGCGGCCGAUGUCGGAUUAGCUAGUUGGUGAGGUAAAGGCUCACCAAGGCGACGAUCCGUAGCAGGCCUGAGAGGAUGAUCUGCCACACUGGAACUGAGACACGGUCCAGACUCCUACGGGAGGCAGCAGUGGGGAAUUUUGGACAAUGGGGGCAACCCUGAUCCAGCCAUGCGCGUGAGUGAAGAAGG
rnacentral:rRNA from 1 species